ACCUAUUUGUUGCCUCGGCGGUGCCUGUUCCGACAGCCCGCCAGAGGACCCCAAACCCUGAUUACAUUUAAGAAGUCUUCUGAGUAAACCGAUUAAAUAAAUCAAAACUUUCAACAACGGAUCUCUUGGUUCUGGCAUCGAUGAAGAACGCAGCGAAAUGCGAUAAGUAAUGUGAAUUGCAGAAUUCAGUGAAUCAUCGAAUCUUUGAACGCACAUUGCGCCCGCUAGUAUUCUGGCGGGCAUGCCUGUCCGAGCGUCAUUUCAACCCUCAAGCCCCCGGGCUUGGUGUUGGGGAUCGGCGAGCCUCCGCGCCCGCCGUCCCCUAAAUCUAGUGGCGGUCUCGCUGUAGCUUCCUCUGCGUAGUAGCACACCUCGCACUGGGAAACAGCGCGGCCACGCCGUUAAACCCCCAACUUCUGAACGUUUGACCUCGGAUCAGGUAGGAAUACCCGCUGAACUUAAGCAUAUC
rnacentral:rRNA from 1 species